rnacentral:rRNA from 1 species
UGAGGAAUAUUGGACAAUGGGCGCAAGCCUGAUCCAGCCAUGCCGCGUGCAGGAUGACGGUCCUAUGGAUUGUAAACUGCUUUUGUACGAGAAGAAACACUACUUCGUGAAGUAGCUUGACGGUAUCGUAAGAAUAAGGAUCGGCUAACUCCGUGCCAGCAGCCGCGGUAAUACGGAGGAUCCAAGCGUUAUCCGGAAUCAUUGGGUUUAAAGGGUCCGUAGGCGGGCUAAUAAGUCAGUGGUGAAAUCUCCCGGCUCAACCGGGAAAUGGCCAUUGAUACUGUUAGUCUUGAAUUAUUAGGAAGUAACUAGAAUAUGUAGUGUAGCGGUGAAAUGCUUAGAGAUUACAUGGAAUACCAAUUGCGAAGGCAGGUUACUACUAAUGGAUUGACGCUGAUGGACGAAAGCGUGGGUAGCGAACA